AAAUACACCAAAAUGUUAACAGUCACUGUCGUUGGCUAGGGGCACUUUGGCUAGUUCUUAAAAUAAUUAUUUCAAGGUCCGGUCACGGCAGCCAUCUCGCCGUGAGACAGCAGGUGUCGGAGCAGCAGGCGCAGUUGUACGAUGUUGUCUUCCAUAGCCAUGUAUUCGGCUCCUGGCAGAGACUUGGGGAUGGAGCCGCACAGAGCCGCGGGCCCUUUGCAGAUGCGAUUUUCACCCUACGCUUUUAACGGAGGUACUGUACUGGCAAUUGCUGGAGAAGAUUUUGCAAUUGUUGCUUCUGAUACUCGACUGAGUGAAGGGUUUUCAAUUCAUACCCGGGAUAGCCCCAAAUGUUACAAAUUAAGAGACAAAACAGUCAUGGGAUGCAGUGGUUUUCAUGGAGACUGUCUUACCCUGACAAAGAUUAUUGAAGCAAGACUAAAGAUGUAUAAGCAUUCCAAUAAUAAGGCCAUGACUAUGGGGGCAAUUGCUGCAAUGCUGUCUACGAUCCUGUAUUCAAGGCGCUUCUUUCCAUGCUAUGUUUACAACAUCAUCGGUGGACUUGAUGAAGAAGGAAAGGGGGCUGUAUACAGCUUUGACCCAGUAGGGUCUUACCAGAGAGACUCCUUCAAGGCUGGAGGCUCAGCAAGUGCCAUGCUACAGCCCCUGCUUGACAACCAGGUUGGUUUUAAGAACAUGCAGAAUGUGGAGCAUGUCCCGCUGUCCUUGGACAGAGCCAUGCGGCUGGUGAAAGAUGUCUUUAUUUCUGCGGCUGAGAGAGACGUUUACACUGGGGACGCGCUCCGGAUCUGCAUAGUGACCAAAGAGGGCAUCAGGGAGGAAACUAUUCCCUUAAGGAAGGACUGAUCUGUGUGCUGUUAAUCACCAAUCAGUUCAGAACUGGUUGAUUUUGUACUUUGGAACUGUACCUUGUAUGGUUUUGUUUAUUAAAAGAGAAAACUGAAGUAAAAAAA